rnacentral:rRNA from 1 species
CACGCCGUAAACGAUGAGCACUAGGUGUCGGGGUCGCAAGAUUUCGGUGCCGUAGUUAACGCAUUAAGUGCUCCGCCUGGGGAGUACGUUCGCAAGAAUGAAACUCAAAGGAAUUGACGG